AGAUCCCAUAGCUGUCACUUUCCCUCUAUCACGAAAACGGUUCUAAGGCCCAGUGCCAUGACUUAGCGAGUGAGGAUACACGGCGCCAAGCCCAAUGACCUGUCUCUGGGACCUACAAGACAGCCAUUCAAAUUCGCACGAAUGGACAUACAAUAAAUGUAUUUAAAACACUCCAAGACAUGUUUUUCUGCUGUAUAAAAUACAACAGCCUGAUAUGAUAACUAAUCAGGAAUCUCAAGAUUUCGGAGGUUGAGGAAAAAGGAUUAUGUGGAGAUUGACACGGCACAUAUUUUGUAGCCUAUUCUGGCCUCAAGAAUCCUGUACUCAAGUGAACUCACUAACUUCCAGUGGUUCAAAAGGACUGAGCCUGCCAGGCUGCAUGAAGAAGGAAAAGUACCAGGGCACUUGAGCAGUGAACUCCAAGAGUGGCUGGUGGGACUGAGGGAAAGGAUGGAAGACAAAUGUCACUGCAAGAAGCUGAGAGGCUGGAUUGGAGGAUGUAGGCUUUGCCAUUGAGUCCUAGAGACUUCCAGUAUCAGCACUGGUAGUUCAUGUGUCUCGCAAUGCCACUGACUUUGCUCCAUAUCUCAGAAGAAUCACCCAGGACUUCCCAGUUGUGUCUCUCUCCUGGGAAGGGCUGGAGUGAACCGUGCACCCAAACCUCUAUUUGUGACUCAUCGCCAGUUCUCAGCACAUCAAGCAAACAGACUUGAGGUCACACCCAGACUGAUGUGCAGUUGCAGCAUUAUGUUGAGCUCUGGGAAGGAGGCCAUCAAGGGGACAGUAAGUUGGCAGAUGAGAAUGGACACAAGCAAGGCACUGCUUAAGUAGGUGGCCGAUUUCCAGCCUGGAAGGCUUCCCACAGCUCUGACAAGUGUUACCACUCUGGAGCAGUGGGCACCUGGAACCCAGGCCCCAACCCCGAGCACCUUAUCAUCAGAUGGGUGUCUAGUUACCAGAAGGGUCAAGGCUCUUGCCCCUUCCUGCUGUGAGACUCCUGCUGAACAUGAAACACCAUCCAAAGCAGCCUGGAGAAUAGCACCCAAGGCAUGUGUACACCAUAAACCAGCUCCUGUUUACUUACUGCUGGCUGGGGGAGGAGAGCAACUGCCAGGAAGGCCUCCCAUCAGCAGGAGAGCAAUUUUCCUUGGCUGCUUUGUGGCACGGAGGCAGGAGCCUGGUGUACAGCAAACACCUUCUGAGUAACCUGUUCCUUGUGUGGGAAGCAGAGGGACAACCGAGCUCAGGCUUGCAGCACGAUAGACUGCUGACAAGGUGAGAGGGGUUUGCUGAGGCACUUGGACUCCUCCCAUCAGGUUGAAUAGGAGGCUGGAUGCCCUCUAGACCCUCUGCAGGUAAGGUCCUGGGUGAGAAGGCCUUCCCUGGUGAAGAUGCAACAUCAUCUGCACUAUGUGAGCAGCACGAGGCAUGGCCCAAGGCCACCCUGGCUUCUGGUAGCAUCCCUCCUCACAUGAGGCUGACAACCACGCCCUUGGGCACGUACAAGCUCCAGUCACAACUCAAACUGGGGACCUUAUCCAGCCCAGUCUGCUCUGCCUCGGUGUGAGAUUAGACUUAAAACCCUAUCAAACCUGGGUGUGGUGAUGCACAUCCCAGCACUUGGGAGGCUGAGGUAGGAGUUGUGCAAGUUUGAAACUGCUGGGUUCCUGUAGAGUAAAUGAGGACUUGGAGAACCAACACCAUCCAAACGGAGAAGACACUCGAAGGCCUGCAGAUGGACUCUCAUGAGUAAACAUGGUCUUCUCUGACUUGUUCCCCUCUUCCAUGGCUGGGGGUCAGACACCCAAGCCUGAGACAGAUGCUGUUUUGUUUUUCUUUUAUUUAUCUACAUUCAGCGGAAUUCAAAUGUACUGUCUGAAUGAUCCAGACAUACCAAAAAAAAAAAAAAAAAAAACUCCACUGCUUUUUUAAAAUAAAAUUUUCACUUAUAAAAC
rnacentral:lncRNA from 1 species